AGAGUUUGAUCCUGGCUCAGAUUGAACGCUGGCGGCAUGCCUUACACAUGCAAGUCGAACGGCAGCACGGGGGCAACCCUGGUGGCGAGUGGCGAACGGGUGAGUAAUACAUCGGAACGUGUCCUGUAGUGGGGGAUAGCCCGGCGAAAGCCGGAUUAAUACCGCAUACGCUCUACGGAGGAAAGGGGGGGAUCUCAGGACCUCCCGCUACAGGGGCGGCCGAUGGCAGAUUAGCUAGUUGGUGGGGUAAAGGCCUACCAAGGCGACGAUCUGUAGCUGGUCUGAGAGGACGACCAGCCACACUGGGACUGAGACACGGCCCAGACUCCUACGGGAGGCAGCAGUGGGGAAUUUUGGACAAUGGGCGAAAGCCUGAUCCAGCAAUGCCGCGUGUGUGAAGAAGGCCUUCGGGUUGUAAAGCACUUUUGUCCGGAAAGAAAACCUCCGCCCUAAUAUGGUGGGGGGAUGACGGUACCGGAAGAAUAAGCACCGGCUAACUACGUGCCAGCAGCCGCGGUAAU
rnacentral:rRNA from 1 species